rnacentral:lncRNA from 1 species
ACUGCAGUUUCACAGGAGAGAAACCUGAUGUGAUAUUUGAAAGUAAUGUUGAAGGACAAACGCCUCAGCAAACAAUCCUUUAAGAACAUUUGUGAACAUACACCAGCUGAGAGAGGAAGCCCAUGGAAGACAGUGUGCUACAGUCUUGGAUAUUCUCACUCUAAACCAGGGGCAAGAACAGAACAUCAGAAGUUGUUGGACCUCAGCCCAUUGUUGGCCUCAGCAGAUUUCUUUAAGACUGUCACAUUGCCUAAGGAAAAUGCAAUAUAUAGAAAGGCUCAGCAGAAAUCACACCCCUAACAGCUCUUCCUCUCUUUGGCAAUUCCUUGAAAUCCUAAAAAAAUGUUCUUUGAAAAUAAGGGACGGACUGAUAUAAAUAAGACCUCUAAUCUUGUUUGUUUAGGAGGAUGUUCAGGAAAGAGGUAAAGUGCAAAGGCAUCGCAAGGGUCAACAGUUGAUGUUUACACUAGACAUUUCCUUUUCUUUCUUGUUUGUGGCUUCAGUCUGGGGAAAGAAAUUCUUGGAAAUGAAUGUAACUCUAUUUCAUCACAUUGGACUAGAACUUCAAGGAGGUACCAAUACUGUUUCACCCAUUGCCUGAGAGGCCAAGGAGGAAAAGAAAAAAAGGAGUCAGACUCCCACAAAACAAUAAGAAAAAAAAAACCCAGAAGAAAAAUGGCUAAAGGCUAUGACCAAACCAUUCACAGAAGAACCUGAACAUUCAACAAACAGUGGAAAGAGGCUCAACUACACAAGCAAUCAGGGAAAUGCAAAGUAAAAUGAAAACAGAUGCCAUUUCUUGCCCAUCAGGGUGGCAAUUAAAGUAUGAUAAUAUCAAUAUUGGCAGGUGAAUAGACAAAUGAGACUCUUAGUCACAACUUCAAAUUGAUAUAUACUGGCACAGCAUUUUAAAGGGUAGUUUCAUGCGAUCCAUUAAAAUUUGAAAUGUGCAUAUCCCAUAAUCCAGCAGUAAUACUUCUUGGUGUUCACUGCAGCAAGACUCACAUGGUUCCAAUUAAAUAGGUUUGUUUCAUGUAAUUUGUAACAAUGAAAAUAACCUAAAUGUCCAUUGACCAGGGAAUGGCUAAAUAACUAUGAUAUAUCUACAGUAUCUUAAAUUACGCCAGAGUUAUAAG